rnacentral:rRNA from 1 species
UACGUAGGGUGCAAGCGUUUGUCCGGAAUUAUUGGGCGUAAAGAGCUUGUAGGCGGUUUGUCGCGUCUGCUGUGAAAUUUCGGGGCUCAACCCCCGAACUUGCAGUGGGUACGGGCAGACUAGAGUCUGGUAGGGGGGAUCUGGAAUUCCUGGUGUAGCGGUGGAAUGCGCAGAUAUCAGGAGGAAUACCUGUGGAGAAGUCGGCUAACUGGCCCCAACAUUGACACUCAGACCCCGAAAAGCGUGGGGGAUCAAAACAGG